AGGCAGCCUCCUUGCCAUAAUGGCAUGAAUGGCGUUAUUCUGCUCAUAGAUCAAUUUUUCUGCUCUUCAGAUUUGCUGAGGUUACAUUUCAUAAUGCAAUCUCUGAAGCUGGUCUAGUAAGCUCAAGUACAUU